rnacentral:lncRNA from 1 species
GUGAUGCCAAAGGAGGCAGACAGCUUAACAGGGAGAUCAGAGAAACAGACAGUCAGAGAGAGCUCUGCUGAAACCGCUGUCAUCCUGGGGUGACUGAGUGCAUGCCCAAAGCUGCUCCCUCUGAGGAGCGACAUAGGAGUUUCCACACUGAAGGGAAAUAGACUUCACUGAAAUUGUCCAUCCAGGUUAUUAAACAAAUAAACAAGCAAACAACAAUAACAACAACAAAACAAGCUCCAGAGAGGGAGCAGGGGACUCAGUAUCCAGUGUUGCUACAAUCUAUUACUUCAAAUGUCUGAUUUCAAGAAAAAAUUAUGAGAUAUGCAGAGAAACAUGGAAGUGUGACCAGCACAGAGGAAGAAAAAGCAAGCAACAGAAACUGCCUGUGACCCAAGAUGGUAAUUAGAAUCCAUAUGAAAAAACUGGAUUAAACAUCAUUAAAGCACAAAGGAAGUAGGUGAGAGCAAAGCUGUAUUGGAGUAAAGAAGAGACACCAGAUGGUAACUCGAAUCCACAGGAACAAAUGAAGAGGAUCAGAAAUGGUAAAUGAGAAGAAGGGGGAAAUUUGGACACAGACCUGCACACGGGGAGAAGGUGAUGUGACUUGAAGACUGGAGCCAAGCAACUAACUACCAGAAGCAAGGAGACGGACUUGGACCUGAUCCUUCCCCAGCGCCUUCAGAGGGAAUGCAGCCCUGCCGACACCUUGACCACGGACUUCUAGCUUCCAGAACUGAGAGACAAUAAGCUUUUGUUGUUUAAGCCACUUGGUUUGUGAGUACCUUGUUAUGGCAGCCCUCGCAAACUAAUACACUCAUAAUGCUAUUUCCAAGUCAUAACAACUGUUAAUUUUUUAGUUUAUCUUCUUCCAGUUUCAUAUCUAUAAAUCGAUAGAUCCACA